rnacentral:rRNA from 1 species
UACGGAGGGUGCAAGCGUUAUCCGGACUCACUGGGUUUAAAGGGUGCGUAGGAGGGCAGGUAAGUCAGUGGUGAAAUCUCCAAGCUUAACUUGGAAACUGCCGUUGAUACUAUCUGUCUUGAAUAUUGUGGAGGUGAGCGGAAUAUGUCAUGUAGCGGUGAAAUGCUUAGAUAUGACAUAGAACACCAAUUGCGAAGGCAGCUUGCUACACUGUUAUUGACACUGAGGCACGAAAGCGUGGGGAUCAAACAGG